AGCUCAAAACCCUUAUUUUGACUGCCGAUUAGGGUUUCAAAAUCCCCGCCAUUUUCACCCCUCUUCGAUCCUCUCUCGUCCUCCCUACGCCCGAAGCCCUAAUGGUGUGGAUGGCGGUGGAGGAAGACGAGAGAAAAUUCACUUCAGGGACCUUGAAACGGAGCCCCGACACCAUUGACACUUGUCUCGAAGAACAAUAACACUUAUCGGCCAAUAUAAACAAUUCAACCAGCCAGAAUGACAUUUCUCCUCCUCAACCGAGGGUUUAAUCGGCUCGGUGGCUUCUAACAUCGCUUCUCAGCCUUUACGGAACUACGAUCCCGAUAUGUGGGGAGUCCUCUCCGCGAUUUCCAGCAAUGCUCGCAAAAGCCGUCAAGGGCAUAAAUUUACUGUUGGCUUGUGCGCCGCUGAUUCAUCGAGCUGUCAGAUAUCUGACUUUCUGAAAGACACCAGAUUAGUGGACCUUUCUCCUGGUUUAGUUGUUUAAUUCACGGUAACGUCUUCAAGGAAACAUAAGACUUAGGGUUUGUCUGUGCUUUGCCUAUUUCUCUAAUUCACCACUUAUCUCAUCUGGGAACAGUUGAGAAAGUACAGCUCUGGAGUAAAGAUCCAGCCCUGUGACAUAGUAUCGUUGGCUACUCAUCCAGACCAUGGACAUAUAGGAUUUUUACCUCAGCACUGUGAAAUAAGUAUAUCACCUUUCGUAAAUGGCUUUCAAGACUAAAUAAACAGUUCAAAAGUUUAUGUCUUGUACUAUCGGCUUUUCCAUCUGUGUCCACUAUUGCAGAUCAAUUGCAGUGUUAAAGCUUAUGUCUUCAUUGUUGUAGACGUCGCAUUUGCAUAUGUGUAAGUGUAUCGGAAAGUACUUGGAUUUAUUGCCAUGACGAAACGUAUUAACAGAACAAGAAAAACAGAUGCCAUUAUCACUGAAAUCAUGGAUUUUUCCUGUCUUCUGUUUAUUCUAUCUUGUGUUGGAUGUAUAAAUAGCUGAUAUUAGAUAGAUGGAUGGAAUGACCACGUAAAGCCUUUGUCAAUUGACAUGGAAUAUUUGAUGACUUAGGAUGCUUGUUAAGCUCUUAACACCAGCAUGGUGUUUUCUCGCAUUCAAUUUAUCUGCUAAACAAUCCUCUUGCAGUCAAGAUUGCCAUUUUUGGCUGUUGUUUCCUGUUGAUUAUGUUGCCUUAAAACUAUCCAGGAUUCCAGAUACAUUGUCAUACAAGUUUGAUACGUUCAAAUUAGUGUUAACAUGAAAUGUUCAUGCAGUGAAACUCAGGGGUGGAUGUUUUAUUUUUAUGGCCGAGGACAUAGUUUUUUUUGUGAAGCAACGGGAACAGCUCAAGGCCAUGCAGAGAACUUUGGAAGAAAAUAAAAUUUAUAGUAACACUUCUGUUGAUAUGGAUCGUAAUCCAAUAAUCAGAGCUGGUAUUGAGGACAAUGAAAGAGGGUUGGCACACCAACGUUGCCAGAAAGGCAAGAUCCUCCAUUUCAGGGUGGAGGUUUAACUGGGAAAUGGAUCUGUUGAUACUUCUUCUGAAGGCGCAGGUGCUACUGAGAAGCAUGACUGUGAGUGUGACAUCAUGAUCCAAGAAGGCCAAAAUACCCAAGAACCAGAAUUCCUAAGUCUGAACGCAUUGCCAAGGGUGCCUUUGGCUCAGAUAUUGAGGGUGUUGGUACAGCUCCCAUUUUGGAUAGAGACCUUGUGGGAACUGAGCAAGUUGAUGAAACUCAAGUACAGGAGACAAUUAUGAGAGAAAUUUUAAUUUGAGCAAGUUAAACAUCUUCUAGUGAUACACUGUAGAUGGAUUAUGAAACUCAGGCACAUGAAAUGAAAGUGGUCAUCAUGAUCAACCUGAUCCUCGGUUACCAUCGAGGAGUCCCUCAUAUGACCAAUGGGGAUAUAGAAGACACUGAAAGGUAGGUGCUAUAAGAACAGCCGAUCUUCUAGCUUCUGAAGUUGCUGGAAGCUGGGCUUGUAGCGCAGCUCCUUCUGUACACGGUGUGAAUAAAGCCCAAAGACGUAGAAAGGAUGGGGAAAGUGAUACUCAAAGAGUCAAAGGGUAAAUGAAGUGCCUAUAAUACAUGAUUUUGCAGGUCAGGUUGCUCAAAGUCAAAGUAAACCUUCUUCUUCAAGGUUAUUGUUGUCAGAAGGAAGGAUAACGAUCGUUGAGCUCUGAGUGAAGUGAUAGGGUUGUUGCUCCUGAACUGAAUGAUCAGUUCUCCAACACUGAAAAAGAUCAAAGAAAGGGAAGUGAAAAUGUAAUUCUGGUUCAGACUCCGAUAGCAAGAGUCGUUCUUAUUCGGAUGAUGGUUGAGGGAAGGAAAAACACGGUUUUGUUUCAGACUUGGCCACAAAUGAUCAUUCUGAUACAGAUAAGAACGAGAUAUUACCCUCCUCUGAUGCUGAGACAGGGGAGUGAUAAAGAUCUGAAAUAGGUAGACAGAUGGAUGGAGAUGAUAAAGCUACUUAUCGACGUACUCUUUGAUAGUCCUCUUUGCUGGGUAACAUAUUUGUGAACAUCCUUUUUGUAAGUCUAAUUUAGUUUUGUGUUUUCUCCCUGCCCGUUUCUAUUCAAUAUUUAGAUUUGCAGGUGAGACUUCUGUCAUUCAAGAACAGUGGCAUAUACACCCGUUCCUUGCUAGAGGGAAGAAAGGGGGGUAGGCAAUCGACAGCAAGAGUCAGAGGAUUCAUCGAUGGGUAAUUUUGAAUUAGUGAAGGCUGAUGAUUGUGAUUUCGACCACUUUGGGUUUUGAUGGCAAGAGGAGCGUGAAACAAAAUCCAUCAUUGAAGCUGUAAGAACUCAAGGAAGUAACUUCCAACUGUGAUGUCUGGUGACAUAAGGGUGGAGGAAUUGAGAUUGGAAGCUCUCAAGUCAUACGCAUGCUUUUCCAGUUGAAAAAGGCCAAGGUUGGGAUCAUCGAAGACAUUUCUCAAACAAAAGAUCUGGAGUCAGAUUAAAAAGACAGACUUGGAAUUGGUUUUUUUCUUUUAAAGGUUUGAAAAAA